ACUCCUACGGGAGGCAGCAGUUGGGGAUCUUGCACAAUGGGCGAAAGCCUGAUGCAGCGACGCCGCGUGGAGGAUGACGGCCUUCGGGUUGUAAACUCCUUUCAGUGGGGAAGAAUGCCUUUUCUGUAUAAAGCGGAGAGGGAGUGACGGUACCCACAGAAGAAGCUCCGGCUAACUACGUGCCAGCAGCCGCGGUAAUACGUAGGGAGCGAGCGUUGUCCGGAAUCACUGGGCGUAAAGCGUCCGUAGGCGGCGAGGUAAGUCGUACGUGAAAGCCCCGGGCUCAACUCGGGUGAGUGCGUGCGAUACUGCCCCGCUUGAGUGCCGGAGGGGAGAGCGGAACGGUGCAAGUAGCGGUGAAAUGCGUAGAUAUGCAUCGGAACACCGGUGGCGAAGGCGGCUCUCUGGACGGUCACUGACGCUGAGGGACGAAAGCCAGGGGAGCGAACGGGAUUAGAUACCCCGGUAGUCCUGGCCGUAAACGAUGGAUACUAGGUGUUGGGGGUAUCGACCCCCUCAGUGCCGCAGCUAACGCAAUAAGUAUCCCGCCUGGGG
rnacentral:rRNA from 1 species